UGCGUAACGCGUGAGCAACCUACCCAUAUCAGGGGGAUAGCCUCUCGAAAGAGAGAUUAACACCGCAUAAUAUCAUUUACCGGCAUCGGUUUGUGAUCAAAUAUUUAUAGGAUAUGGAUGGGCUCGCGUGACAUUAGCUAGUUGGAGAGGUAACGGCUCACCAAGGCUACGAUGUCUAGGGGCUCUGAGAGGAGAAUCCCCCACACUGGUACUGAGACACGGACCAGACUCCUACGGGAGGCAGCAGUAAGGAAUAUUGGUCAAUGGAGGCAACUCUGAACCAGCCAUGCCGCGUGCAGGAUGACUGCCCUAUGGGUUGUAAACUGCUUUUGUCAGGGAAUAAACCUUUCUACGUGUAGAAAGCUGAAUGUACCUGAAGAAUAAGGAUCGGCUAACUCCGUGCCAGCAGCCGCGGUAAUACGGAGGAUCCAAGCGUUAUCCGGAUUUAUUGGGUUUAAAGGGUGCGUAGGCGGUCCUAUAAGUCAGUGGUGAAAGACGGCAGCUUAACUGUCGCAGUGCCUUUGAUACUGUAGGACUUGAAUCUAUUUGAAGUGGGCGGAAUAAGACAAGUAGCGGUGAAAUGCAUAGAUAUGUCUUAGAACUCCGAUUGCGAAGGCAGCUCACUAAGUUAGUAUUGACGCUGAUGCACGAAAGC
rnacentral:rRNA from 1 species